GCCUGGGUGGCUCAGUUGGUUGAGUGUCUGACUUUGGCUCAGGUCAUGAUCUUGCGAUCUGUGAGUUUGAGCCCCACAUCAGGCU
rnacentral:tRNA from 1 species